GAUUAUGAUUGUGCAAGCAACUCUAGUGUAUAUACACUAGAGUUGCCUGCACAGUCAGAAUC
rnacentral:pre_miRNA from 1 species